ACUUAGUGGCAGACGGGUGAGUAACAUGUGGGUAUCUACCCUUUGGCCUGGAAUAACACGAGGAAACUUGUGCUAAUACCGGAUAAGUCUUUACGGAGAAAGCUUUAUGCACCAUUGGAUGAGCCCGCACUUGAUUAGUUUGUUGGUAGGGUAAUGGCCUACCAAGACUAUGAUCAAUAGCUGAUUUGAGAGGAUGAUCAGCCACAUUGGGACUGAGACACGGCCCAAACUCCUACGGGAGGCAGCAGUGGGGAAUCUUGCACAAUGGAGGAAACUCUGAUGCAGCGAUGCCGCGUGAGUGAAGAAGGCCUUUGGGUUGUAAAGCUCUUUCGUCGGGGAAGAAAAUGACUGUACCCGAAUAAGAAGGUCCGGCUAACUUCGUGCCAGCAGCCGCGGUAAUACGAAGGGACCUAGCGUAGUUCGGAAUUACUGGGCUUAAAGAGUUCGUAGGUGGUUGAAAAAGUUGGUGGUGAAAUCCCAGAGCUUA
rnacentral:rRNA from 1 species